ACCCGCACAAGCGUGGAUGAUGUGGAUUAAUUCGAUGCAACGCGAAAAACCUUACCUACCUUGACAUGUCCGGAAUCCUGCAGAGAUGCGGGAGUGCCCGAAAGGGAAUCGGAACACAGGUGCUGCAUGGCUGUCGUCAGCUCGUGUCGUGAGAUGUUGGGUUAAGUCCCGCAACGAGCGCAACCCUUAUCAUUAGUUGCUACGCAAGGGCACUCUAAUGAGACUGCCGGUGACAAACCGGAGGAAGGUGGGGAUGACGUCAAGUCCUCAUGGCCCUUAUGGGUAGGGCUUCACACGUCAUACAAUGGUCGGUACAGAGGGUUGCCAAGCCGCGAGGUGGAGCCAAUCCCAGAAAGCCGAUCGUAGUCCGGAUUGUUCUCUGCAACUCGAGAGCAUGAAGUCGGAAUCGCUAGUAAUCGCGGAUCAGCAUGUCGCGGUGAAUACGUUCCCGGGUCUU
rnacentral:rRNA from 1 species